rnacentral:tRNA from 1 species
AGUAGUUAUAGUGUUCAGCUGAUAACUGAAAGGUCAGUGGUUCAAACCCACUAGCUACUA